rnacentral:tRNA from 2 species
UCGAAAGCAGCCUGGUAGGCCGGGGGCAAGGCCUCCCAGGCCUUGUCGUGCACCAUGCUGGUGAUCGAGGCGCUGCCUUCGAACCA